rnacentral:rRNA from 1 species
CAUGUUUUUUUGAAUAUAAUUUAAAAUUUAAUCUGCUCAUAUGAUAAAUAAUUAAAUGGCCGCAGUAUUUUGACUGUGCAAAGGUAGCGUGAUAAUUAGUUUCUUAAUUGGAAGCUGGAAUGAAUGAUUGGACGAGAAAAUUUCUGUCUUUAAUUUAAAAAUUAAACUUUAUUUUUAAGUUAAAAAGCUUAAAUAAAGUUAAGGGACGAGAAGACCCUAUAGAGUUUUAUAUAGAGUUGUAUUUUUAAUAUUGGUUUUAUAUCUUUAAAUAUUUCUUUUAUAUUUGGUUGGGGUGAUUUAAAGAUUAAUUUAACUCUUUAUAAAUUAACAAUGAUUUUUGAUAAAUUUGAUCUAUUAUUUAAUUGAAAGAAUCAAUUACCUUAGGGAUAACAGCGUAAUUUUUUUAGAAGUUCUUAUUUAAAUAAAAGAUUGCGACCUCGAUGUUGGAUUAAAGUUAAAUUAGGGUGAAAAAGCUUUAAUUUUAGGUCUGUUCGACCUUUAAAAUUUUACAUGAUCUGAGU